rnacentral:rRNA from 1 species
GACUAACAAGGAUUCCCCUAGUAACUGCGAGUGAAGCGGGAAAAGCUCAAAUUUAAAAUCUGGCAGUCUUUGGCUGUCCGAGUUGUAAUCUAGAGAAGUAUUAUCCGCGCUGGACCGUGUACAAGUCUCCUGGAAUGGGGCGUCAUAGAGGGUGAGAAUCCCGUCUUUGACACGGACUGCCAGGGCUUUGUGAUGUGCUCUCAAAGAGUCGAGUUGUUUGGGAAUGCAGCUCAAAAUGGGUGGUAAAUUCCAUCUAAAGCUAAAUAUUGGCGAGAGACCGAUAGCGAACAAGUACCGUGAGGGAAAGAUGAAAAGAACUUUGGAAAGAGAGUUAAACAGUACGUGAAAUUGCUGAAAGGGAAACGCUUGAAGUCAGUCGCGUUGGCCAGGGAUCAACCUUGCUUUUUUGCUUGGCUUACUUUCUGGUUAAUGGGUCAGCAUCAAUUUUGGCCGGUGGAAAAAGUUCAAGGGAAUGUGGCAUCUUCGGAUGUGUUAUAGCCUUUGUUCGCAUACACUGGUUGGGAUUGAGGAACUCAGCACGCCGCAAGGCCGGGUUUUUAACCACGUACGUGCUUAGGAUGYUGGCAUAAUGGCUUUAAUCGACCCGUCUUGAAACACGGACCAAGGAGUCUAACAUGCCUGCGAGUGUUUGGGUGAAAAACCCGAGCGCGUAAUGAAAGUGAAAGUUGAGAUCCCUGUCGUGGGGAGCAUUGACGCCCGGAUCUGACCUUUUGUGACGAUUCUGCGGUAGAGCAUGUAUGUUGGGACCCGAAAGAUGGUGAACUAUGCCUGAAUAGGGUGAAGCCAGAGGAAACUCUGGUGGAGGCUCGUAGCGAUUCUGACGUGCAAAUCGAUCGU